rnacentral:rRNA from 1 species
AGAGCAGUGAGGAAUAUUGGACAAUGGGAGCAAUCCUGAUCCAGCCAUGCCGCGUGCAGGAAGACUGCCCUAUGGGUUGUAAACUGCUUUUAUACAGGAAGAAAAAGGUGUACGUGUACACUGUUGACGGUACUGUAAGAAUAAGGAUCGGCUAACUCCGUGCCAGCAGCCGCGGUAAUACGGAGGAUCCAAGCGUUAUCCGGAAUCAUUGGGUUUAAAGGGUCCGUAGGCGGGAUGAUAAGUCAGUGGUGAAAGUCUGCAGCUCAACUGUAGAAUUGCCAUUGAUACUGUUGUUCUUGAGUUAUUGUGAAGUGGUUAGAAUGAGUAGUGUAGCGGUGAAAUGCAUAGAUAUUACUCAGAAUACCGAUUGCGAAGGCAGAUCACUAACAAUGAACUGACGCUGAUGGACGAAAGCGUAGGUAGCGAACAGGAUUAGAUACCCUGGUAGUCUACGCCGUAAACGAUGGUUACUAGCUGUUCGGACUAAUGUGGUCGAGUGGCUAGCGAAAGUGAUAAUAACCCCUGGAGCUACGUUUU